rnacentral:rRNA from 1 species
AGCGAACGCUGGCGGCAGGCCUAACACAUGCAAGUCGAACGAACCUUUCGGGGUUAGUGGCGGACGGGUGAGUAACACGUGGGAACGUGCCUUUAGGUUCGGAAUAACUCAGGGAAACUUGUGCUAAUACCGAAUGUGCCCUUCGGGGGAAAGAUUUAUCGCCUUUAGAGCGUCCCGCGUCUGAUCAGCUAGUUGGUUGAGGUAAUGGCACACCAAGGCGACGAUCAGUAGCUGGUCUGAGAGGAUGAUCAGCCACAUUGGGACUGAGACACGGCCCAAACUCCUACGGGAGGCAGCAGUGGGGAAUCUUGCGAAAUGGGCGAAAGCCUGACGCAGCCAGGCCGCGUGAAUGAUGAAGGUCUUAGGAUUGUAAAAUUCUUUCACCGGGGACGAUAAUGACGGUACCCGGAGAAGAAGCCCCGGCUAACUUCGUG